GAUAAUAUUUAGAGCUUCUAAGCAAUAAUGUACAUUCUCUUUUGCUACUUACUGCAUACAAUGAAUGUCUGCUGAUCUAAAAAGCUUUAUUGCUUUCAAAGAUAAGAUGUACGAGCUGGAACACAGAGCCUGAAAGUCACUUUGCUGAAGUCUCAUGGAGCAAUGGACUGAUAAAGAUGUGAGAUGAAGACCUGAUCUGACUGACAGAUUAAAUGAUUUUGACCCAUCUAAUGCUCAAAACAACURCACAUAAUUGAAAAUAUCUUUUCUAAUCAAAAGUCUUUGAGAGAAAAUUAGUCUUUCCUUCUUUUUGUUUUGUGCUUGACAGAAAGAAUUAGCAAUUUGGUGGAAUCAUCUGGUUCUCUGGGAGGAAUGGACAGAUGGAUGAAUGCAUGGACAUCUCUACCCAGGGAAACUGAUCCAGCGUUGUGUGGAACUUACUUGAGAACAUACUUCCCUCUGAACACAGGCAUGGACCUAAGUGCCUUCAGUAAUGGGAAAAUGUUGCUCCACUUCUAAAAGUAAAGACUGUGCCACUGAAGUAGAAUACAGCCUAUCACUUGGCCUUUCUGAACUCCACUGACUUUGAUKGAACUCCACUUAAUUUUGCUAAGAGCAUUUAUAGCUGUUAGCAUUCAUAUUCUUAGCACAGUCCCUGUAGCUGCACUUCCAUCAUUGUCUUCUGCACCUGUCAUCUCUCUUUCAGCAGUAAGUGCUUUCAGGGGAGUUAUGCUGAAGAGAUGAUGCUACCAUUGCAAACAAGGGGCAUCUGACAAGGAUGCUGCUACAGCCAAAUGAUCAUUUUUCUACUCUGCUUUGUUCAAAUCUAUUUCUUGUCAUCCUUAGUGUGGAGCUGUACACAUCUCUGCCCCUCCUCUGUCCUAGCAAAGGGCUGUAGUAUGAGUCAGGAUUACUGUGACAAUGUGAGACAACUCAAGUUAUUGAAUUCAGGUUAUUCAAGUUAUACUCUUGAGUCCUGACCUUGGGUAGACAGCAAAGUUUUAUUCAGACUGAAGGGGGCGGGGGGGGGAAGAAUUAAUAAUUAGCCUAACUUUUCAGCAUUUACUAUCUGUGGUGACCUGAAGCAUCUCCCCAUUGUCUCAGGAACUCCCACCAGUGCCUCUCUCCUGGGAAAUCUCAGAAACUCUCUGAAUACUGUGCUCUGCUGCUCRCUGCCCUGUUGAGCAGGCAAUUCCUAGUAUCUUACCAGGCCAAAUCAGUAAAGAGGCUACAGAAAUUGUAGGCAGGCUGCAGUGUUGUGUGUGUUUGUGGUUUUUUUUUUUUUUAAACUGUAAAAUACAGUGGUGGUGUUUUGCCAAAAUGUCCCUGCUGGACAUGACGAACUUGGACUAAAAYAGUGUAACAACACAGUGCUGAUAGUUUAUUUAGAGCUCAUCAUAUACAGUAUCCAUAGAACAAUUCUCAUUCAUAAUGUAUUCUA